rnacentral:rRNA from 1 species
AAUCAACGCUGGCGGCGUGCCUAACACAUGCAAGUCGAACGCGAAAGUGGAGCAAUCCAUGAGUAGAGUGGCAGACGGGUGAGUAACGCGUGGGCGACCUACCUUCGAGUGGGGGAUAACCUUCCGAAAGGAGGGCUAAUACCGCAUGACAUCCCGUGUUUGGAUACACGGACAUCAAAGCCGGGGAUCGUAAGACCUGGCGCUUGAAGAGGGGCCCGCGUCCGAUUAGCUAGUUGGUGAGGUAACGGCUCACCAAGGCUCCGAUCGGUAUCCGGCCUGAGAGGGCGGACGGACACACUGGAACUGAGACACGGUCCAGACUCCUACGGGAGGCAGCAGUGGGGAAUUGUUCGCAAUGGGCGCAAGCCUGACGACGCAACGCCGCGUGGAGGAUGAAGACUUUCGGU